rnacentral:rRNA from 1 species
UUAAUUGAAGAGUUUGAUCAUGGCUCAGAUUGAACGCUGGCGGCAGGCUUAACACAUGCAAGUCGAGCGGUAGCACAAGGGAGCUUGCUCCCCGGGUGACGAGCGGCGGACGGGUGAGUAAUGUCUGGGAAACUGCCUGAUGGAGGGGGAUAACUACUGGAAACGGUAGCUAAUACCGCAUAACGUCGCAAGACCAAAGAGGGGGACCUUCGGGCCUCUU